UCUUGUGAUCACCGAAGUCAAGCAUCAUUGGACGCGGUCAGUACUUGGGUGGGUGACCACCUGGGAACACUGCGUGCCGUU